AGCAGCCGCGGUAAUUCCAGCUCCAAUAGCGUAUAUUAAAGUUGUUGCAGUUAAAAGCUCGUAGUUGAAUUUCGGGAUCAGUAUGUUGGUCGUGCUUCGGUACGUACUGUCAUUACUGGUUUCUACCUUCUGAAGAACCUUGAUGUCAUUAAUUUGGUGUCUUGGGGAAUCAGGACUGUUACUUUGAAAAAUUAGAGUGUUUAAAGCAAGCAUACGCUUGAAUACAUUAGCAUGGAAUAAUGAAAUAGGACGUUUGAUUCUAUUUUGUUGGUUUCUAGGAUCGACGUAAUGAUUAAUAGGGAUAGUUGGGGGCAUUAGCAUUCAAUUGUCAGAGGUGAAAUUCUUGGAUUUAUUGAAGACUAACUACUGCGAAAGCAUUUGCCAAGGAUGUUUUCAUUAAUCAAGAACGAAAGUUAGGGGAUCGAAGACGAUCAGAUACCGUCGUAGUCUUAACCCAUAAACUAUGCCGACUAGGGAUCGGAUGAUGUUAUUUUUAAUGA
rnacentral:rRNA from 1 species